rnacentral:rRNA from 1 species
UACGUAGGGGGCGAGCGUUGUCCGGAAUGACUGGGCGUAAAGGGCGUGUAGGCGGCUUUAUAAGUCUGGAGUGAAAGUCCUGCAUUCAAUGUGGGAAUUGCUUUGGAGACUGUAGAGCUUGAGUGCGGAAGAGGUAAGUGGAAUUCCCAGUGUAGCGGUGAAAUGCGUAGAGAUUGGGAGGAACACCAGUGGCGAAGGCGACUUACUGGGCCGUAACUGACGCUGAGGCGCGAAAGCGUGGGGAGCGAACAGGAUUAGAUACCCGUGUA